rnacentral:lncRNA from 1 species
UCUGACUCCCUUCUCAAGCCAUGGUGGUGGGUGUAUGUGUGUGUGUGUGUGUCUGUGUCUAGGAGAAGGGGGGUGUAUGGCAGCCCUUUUCUCUUUCUGGAAAUAAGCUCUCCUGGAUAGUUGCUGUUGUCUGGGGCCUCCUCUUGCUCUCCAUGUAUCCUCCAACUAGGACCCUAAUGUCAAAAAUGAGCUAAGGAGGAACUUGAGGUUGAGGGAGAAGGUUGAAUUAUUUGUUAUGUGUGGCAGAGUUAGCCUAUGCUCAUAAGCCAACAAGGAAACACUUUUAGAGUCCAUGAUUUGUGCAGUCCUCUGUUAAUGUGGAAAACUGGAGAUUAAUGGAGACAUUUUUCAUUUUACAAACAUCAGUUAAAUGCUUGUGUGAUAUAGGCUAUAUGCUCAAUGCCAUUCCUGCCUUCAAGAGUUUUCAAUGUGCUUUUGUAGGUGUUCCUGUGUGUCUCCUUCUAGUUACCAGCUUAGUGUACAAUAAGCUCUGUGAAGGCAGGGCUUAUCUCUCCUUUAACUCCUAACAUAGGGCCCGGCAUAUAGUAGGUGCUCAUUAAAUACAUGUUUUAUAUACUU